rnacentral:rRNA from 1 species
GGUGCUGCAUGGCUGUCGUCAGCUCGUGUCGUGAGAUGUUCGGUUAAGUCCGCUAACGAGCGCAACCCUCGUCGUGUGUUAUACGUGUCACACGAUACUGCCGGUAUCAAGCCGGAGGAAGUGGGGAUGAUGUCAAGUCAGCAUGGCCUUUAUAUCCUGGGCUACACACACGCUACAAUGGCAGAUACAAUAGGUCGCGAAACCGCGAGGUGGAGCCAAUCCUCAAAGUCUGUCUCAGUUCAGAUUGUAGGCUGCAACUCGCCUGCAUGAAGUCGGAGUUGCUAGUAAACGCAGGUCAGCUAUACUGCGUUGAAUACGUUCCCGGGUUU